rnacentral:rRNA from 1 species
UACGGGGGGGGCAAGCGUUGUUCGGAAUUACUGGGCGUAAAGGGCGCGUAGGCGGCCUUUUAAGUCGGACGUGAAAUCCCUCGGCUUAACCGAGGAACUGCGUCCGAUACUGAAAGGCUUGAAUCCGGGAGAGGGAUGUGGAAUUCCAGGUGUAGCGGUGAAAUGCGUAGAUAUCUGGAGGAACACCGGUGGCGAAGGCGGCAUCCUGGACCAUUACUGACACUGAAAAGCGAAAGCCAGGGGAGCAAACGGG